rnacentral:rRNA from 1 species
UAGGGAAUAUUGGGCAAUGGACGGAAGUCUGACCCAGCCAUGCCGCGUGCAGGAUGAAGGCCUUCUGGGUUGUAAACUGCUUUUAUCUAGGAAGAAAACGCCCAUGCGUGGGAAACUGACGGUACUAGAUGAAUAAGCACCGGCUAACUCCGUGCCAGCAGCCGCGGUAAUACGGAGGGUGCAAGCGUUGUCCGGAUUUAUUGGGUUUAAAGGGUGCGUAGGCGGCCCGUUAAGUCAGUGGUGAAAGCCUCCAGCUCAACUGGAGAACUGCCAUUGAUACUGACGGGCUUGAGUACAGACGAGGUUGGCGGAAUUGAUUGUGUAGCGGUGAAAUGCAUAGAUACAAUCAAGAACUCCGAUUGCGUAGGCAGCUAACUAGGCUGUAACUGACGCUGAGGCACGAAAGCGUGGGGAGCGAACA